rnacentral:rRNA from 1 species
UACAGAGGAUGCAAGCGUUAUCCGGAAUGAUUGGGCGUAAAGCGUUUGUAGGCGGCUUUUUAAGUCCGCCGUCAAAUCCCAGGGCUCAACUCUGGACAGGCGGUGGAAACUACCAAGCUGGAGUGCGGUAGGGGCAGAGGGAAUUUCCGGUGGAGCGGUGAAAUGCGUAGAGAUCGGGAAGAACACCAACGGCGAAAGCACUCUGCUGGGCCGACACUGACACUGAGAGACGAAAGCUAGGGGAGCGAAUGGG